UCUCUUCUUACAGCGAGCCGCUCACGGUCACACACACGCACCGAAUCUGUAAUCACCCGUCCUCUCACCUUCGUGAGCACACAAAAGAAAACAGCAGGGGCGUCGAAGCGGCUCUCUUCUCCUGUGCACACAUCCCUGCGUCUUGCCCUUGCCCUUUACCCUUUCGCUCCCGCUCGCACCGUCUUUUGGCCCCGCUUUCGUGACCCCUCUCGCUUUUGAAGGGCACACGCCUCUUACACCGUUGGCCCCUCCUCCCUCCUGCCUCUCCCGCUUGCCGUGUACGCGCACGUGUGUGUCUGUGUGCGCGCGCCAGUACGGUGACGCACUCAAUUCGCUUUCAUUUAUUUUUGUGCGUUCACCUCGGCUUGUAUUCGUUUCACGCCCUCAGCGCAACUCUUUAUUUUUUUUUUCAUUUUCGCUCUUACAUGCCAUUCCUAUCGUCUUUCCUUCCUCCCUCGGCCUAUUCGCCUCACCUACACACACACACACACACGCCUGCGCUCUCGCAGGCACAGUGCACUGGUUAGAGGUGUGUCCUCCGUUGCGGUGGCCUAAGGCAGCUCCAUGGACAUCACUCCUUCCAGCUCUUGUGCGCUGCGGAAGCGGCUGCUGGGUCUCUUCUACGUCUACUCGACGGCGGUGUCGAACGGCGAUGGUGUCUGCGAGCUGGCCGAAGUUCGGCGGCUCGAGGCAGCUCGCUAUCACGCGUGUCUCAAUGCCCUGGCGCGCCUCAGCAGCUUUCGUAACUUGUUUGCCGGUAGCGAGGAUGAUAUGGCCAUACGUGCGGCCGCGACGCAGCUGCAGUCUAGGCUGGUACAGGACAUACUGUGGAGAGCAGCGAUGAGGCGAGAUGCGAACUGUGCUCGGCAGCAGCAGCGCCUGAACCCGCUUGAGGCGGAAAGAACUGCCGCCCCUUGGCCCAGUAACGAUGACUACGCCGACGAGGAUUUGCUCGGCGAGGCAUGCUACAGCCCCUCGACCUUUGGUCAUGGCAUUCAUUCAACGCCCAGCGAAGAGGCCGGCGCGGCGGAAGACGUGAGGGGCAGCAUUUCAUGGAGUGCCCUGCACUCGGUCAUUGUCCUCUACCUGUACGAUCACCAAUGCUUCCACAACUCUUUUCUGGCCCCAGAAGUCGACGCGCUGCGAAGCGACAGCGAUGGAGGCAUCAUUAUGCAUACCGGCCCGGACAGAGUGUGCGCGAAGGAGAAACAAAUCAACGUGCCCGCCAUGACGCCGCCAGUGCGAAGAAAGGCAACUUGUGCGAAUAGCGCGACUCGUGUAGCCGCGGUCCAGGCAUUCGAGCGGCGACCUUGUGGCGCCACCAAGUCUGCUGCACCGUCAUCAUGGAACGGGAAUCCGCCGCCAUCGUUGCAGGAUACUCUGCUUCGGCAGCCCAACAUGGAGAUUGCGAUGGAUGUGCACGUCGGAGAGGAGGAUGCCGGCAGGUCACUCGAGCCGGUGUACACGCCGCCAUGCCCUCCCCGAAGAGGUGUGCGGCGAGCCUCCCCUGGGGCGCCUUCACUUUGCUCACCGGUGCCAACGCGGCAUGCCGCGUGCGCCGCUUCCAGUUCACGCUGCACGGUUGACGGUGGUAAGAGCCCGACCAAGACAAGCCCACCGCCGCGCCGCAAGCACACGCAGCGCGAAGCAGCCGAGUUCCCGUAUCAGCAACGCCACAUCGGUGCUGUGACCGAUGUGGAGGUCGUCAGCGGCGGACAGUCGGGUUUUCAUCGCGCCACGUCAGUGUCGGUCUCCUCGCUCUCGCCAUCGUGGUCACCGCCGUCUGGGAAGGGUGCCGUGGUACCGAAAAGAAUAGCGGCGGUGACUCGACGGCAGUGGUCUGCCUCUCCGUCACCGCGGCGACCUGCAAGUGCCGUGGUGGUCUUUGGCGAUGAACGCGCCGCGGCUUCGCCGGCGCCGCACGUGGCUCGCGUUCUCAGGCUGCGCCCUCAGUCACCCUCUCAGCAGAACGCGAUGGCGGGCCAUCCGCGAGAGUAUCAUCACCGAAAACAUCGCGCCAGCCGUGCUGGCGCAGCCGUGCCGACGCUGGUCACUGUCAAGAAAAACGCACGUGCGCAGCGGCUGUACACGACACGCCAGCCGCAGCCCGCGAACCCGGCGGAUGCGACGCCGGAGUUGACGAACCGGGAGGGAGGCACUGGUGCCGAUGCGAAGAAGCAACAGAUGUGCUUGCCCGUACCCCAACCGCUCGCUUCACGGCCAGUACUCGCCGAAGCAUGGCCAGGCAGUCGCGAAUACUCUUGCGACUUGAAAACCCCUCUCACCACCCGCCAUGAGGGAUACUUCUGCGAGGCGGAGGAGAGCGCUUCCUUACUCGAUAUCAAACUCCAGCGCGAACGGACGGGCAGGCGAUCGGACAGCGGCAGACAUGCUCAGGGCCGCCGCACCACUUCAUUUUCCGUCGGCGCGCCGAGAAGGGCAAGCGCCGAGGCAAGUAAUCGUGAUGGCUCGAUGCGACCCGAUUGGGUGCGCUGGACUUUUUCAGCAAAGCCGCCGCCCUCUCCCGGCACCCCUCCUGCACUGUUUAGGGCCCCAGUGUUGCCCUCCCGCGCCUCCUCAGCUGCUCCAGUGGACGUGGAGGAUACAGCGAGCGAUCAGGAGAACCAGCCGCCACCGACGCAGACUUCGCGGCGGCGUAAUGCUCUCUACCAACUUGAGCAGCCCUUCCCCCUCACAACAGGCGAGCCUUUUGCGCCCCGCCCCCUCCACGAAGAGCGCCAUACGGGAGCAGCAGCGGCCCCGACGAUGGUGGUGCCAGUGUACCACGUCACCGCACCGUCGCCGACACCUACUCCGCAGGAGGACGAGACGGACGCAUGGCAGCAUUCCGCGGCCCACCGUGAGGCAUCAGCUGUUGCACCCCCGCCUCUGCUCCACCAUUUCACGACUCAGCAGGAGCCGAAGCAACGGCCGCGUCAGCCACCCCAGCAGCUCAUAGGAGUGCAGUGUCUUCUUUUCUCGCCAUCCGACACAUCGUCACUGGCCACCAACAGAAGCUCGCGCGUUUCUUCGACGGAGCAACAGCAGAAAGACCGGAAGCUCGUGCCUGCAUCGACACCCACUAAUCCAGCAGCCCCGACGCUAUCCCCCCUGUUCUGUGAGACGACGCACCGUCCGUUUGCGAGCGCACAUGAGAUGGGGUCGACCGUGGUGGAUGAAGAAACGCGCACACCAACAAGGCGUUGGUCGCCAAGCCGGCAGAGCCUUACGUGUCGCACCCCGACUAGUCUGGUAUCUCCCAUGAAUCGACAGCCGCCAGCAUCACUCUCGCCGGCGUCAACGAAGGUGCAGCAGCAGCAGCCGGAUGGGCGAUCACCUCCACCUCGGCUGUCGAGUCGGGCGAAAGCGCGAUCCAUCACCCGCGGCAGCCGCACUCUACAGACGCCGCCACGGGUGCCUUCCACUCGUGUACUUCUGUCUCCCUCUGGCAGCCUGCAAGUGACAACGCCUUCCUCGCUAACGCCCCCCAUGUAGUCGCAGCAGCAACGACGAGGCGGCUGCUGCGACAAGUGGGAGGAGGCGAUAGCGAGGGAGGUGUUGUUGGACAGAGAAGCUGAGCGGGGAAAGGUGGGCAAGGGAGCACGGCAUGUCCACAACGCACCGCACCGCUCUUCUCCCCUCCCCCCACCAUCGCCAUCUCCACUGCCCCAGCCCUGCAGCACACCGCCUUGGCUUUCACUGAUUCGGCGCCCUUCAUUUGUUUCGUUGUGACUCCUACAUCAAUCCUUGUGCGUGAGCGUGUCUCUUUUUUUUUUUUCGUUGUUGCGGAUGUGUACCUUGCUUUCUCCCUCACGGUGGGUGUCACCAAUGCGCAGCCGUUCUCUGUCGCGCCUCUCUUAGCCCACCCGCCCCUCUCUCCAAAGUGUACCUGUGUCCUGCACGACCUCUCCCGCUCCACAUACUUGUAUCUUCGUCAGCCUCAUCUCCUUCGUUCCAAGAAUGCGCACCACGCCAGCACC
rnacentral:misc_RNA from 1 species